UUGGUAUGUGUGAUUCAAACA
ensembl:piRNA 21ur-90 ncRNA